GACGAACGCUGGCGGCGUGCUUAACACAUGCAAGUCGAACGGAAAGGCCCUGCUUUUGUGGGGUGCUCGAGUGGCGAACGGGUGAGUAACACGUGAGUAACCUGCCCUUGACUUUGGGAUAACUUCAGGAAACUGGGGCUAAUACCGGAUCGGAGCUCCUGCUGCAUGGUGGGGGUUGGAAAGUUUCGGCGGUUGGGGAUGGACUCGCGGCUUAUCAGCUUGUUGGUGGGGUAGUGGCUUACCAAGGCUUUGACGGGUAGCCGGCCUGAGAGGGUGACCGGCCACAUUGGGACUGAGAUACGGCCCAGACUCCUACGGGAGGCAGCAGUGGGGAAUAUUGCAAAAUGGGCGGAAGCCUGAUGCAGCAACGCCGCGUGCGGGAUGACGGCCUUCGGGUUGUAAACCGCUUUCGCCUGUGACGAAGCGUGAGUGACGGUAAUGGGUAAAGAAGCAACGGCUAACUACGUG
rnacentral:rRNA from 1 species